CAAGAUUGAGUUUGUAUCUCCUAACAUCAAACAUUUUAAUCGAAAUAAAUGAUAAAAAUGAAAAAGAAAAAAUCACAAAAUAAGCAUUUACACAUAAUAUAUAUCUAGACACUUUCAAAUAAAAAAGUAUGUUAAACAAUACAUAAAAUCUCUGCUCAACUAACUUCUAAUGGUAAUAAAAUAUAACAAACAGAUAAAAACUUGAGAUCCAGCAUACCAAAAAGAAAAUCUAGUUAACCUGGAUUUGAUGUUAAACAUCACAUUAUAUGUUUCUAUUAAAUUUUACUUGCUUCCUUUCUUGUAUUAUUUUUGUAACGUUUGUAAUUUUUUUUAAAUUUAGGCUCCUAGUAUAUUGUUCAUUUUUCUUCUGAAUAUGUGCAACUCGACGCCAUAAACAAAUCCAAAGCAAUAUCUUCUUUAUACUUAAUUAUGUUUUUCUUGGAUUUUGUGUUUCGCUAUCAAACAUGUAUAUAAUAACAAUUAAUCAUUCAAUUAUUUUUUGAAAAUAUAAGCAAAAGAAUCAAGUCAAAUGGAGUCGAACCAUAGAUUCGGAUCAUCAAUCAAGAAUGAAAAAUAUUUUGUAGAUUACAAUUUUUUUGUCUAUAUAAAAAGAUACUUUAGUAUUAUGAUUAUAAACUAUACCAUUUAAACACACACACACGCAUAUAUAUAUAUAUAUAUAAUCAAUUUGAAAAUAUUUAGGUGAGAUGGCAAAAAUUUGGAGAGAAAUUAACUAUGGUAAUGUUCUUAAAUAACUUAACUAUGGCAAUGUUGUGGUAUAAAUAAUCUUUUGUCUAGUUCUCAAAAAAAAAUCUUUUGUGACAAUUUCAUAUUCAUGCACAACUAAUGAGUUUUAUGUUAUGCUAUUUUGAAUAUAUAACUGUUUAUUGACUAAUGUGAUAAAUCAAACGAUAUGUGCUGUUUUUGCCCCUAUGUUUUUUAAUCGUUUAUCUAUAUUUUCAUAUAAUUGAAAGAAAAUUGAAUAUUGCCGUCAAAAAUUGAAUAUUGUCUGUCUUUAAUUACCAUUUCCUAUCACGAUUAAACAAUCAUUCUCUUAGUGCUACUUCGUUUACUCUCUGGAUUUGUGUUAAAUUGUAUAAGCUUCAUGCUUGGCGGUAUAGUAGUUAGACUUUCCGAAAUAUAUAAAGAAAUCAAAAGUCAAUCAAAUUCUGUUGUAGAUGGCAAGUUACGGGCACCGGAUAUAAGAUUUCGAGGACCAUAAUCAUCUCUUUUUUUUAAAUUUAAUAAAUCUCUUUUUUUUUGUAGUUUAUGAACUUAUCUUUAUGUUAAAAAAUUCUAUAAAAUUUAGGAGGUUAAGAUUAAUAUUUCAUACGGCUGUGUCCAAUCCGGCUAUGUUAGUUGAUACGUGUAUGAAUAUAAAAUAUUAAAGUAUAAUAUUAACAACGGUUUAGAUAGUAUAAAUUAUGGGCAAUGAAAUGCAUGAAAAACUUAAGCCAAUUUUAGAUUACGUUUACAACGGACUGUUCUCAAUUGGUGAAAAUGGUUUUAGAACCAGAAGAAUGACCAGCAUUUACAAAUUAUUUGAAAUAUAUUAAGAUCUUGAAAGAAGGUUUCACACAAUCAAAGAUUAUCUAUGUACCAAAGACGUAAAAUACAAAAACGGAUAGCCUAGCACGCAGUGUCAGGAAACAACUGUUUUUUCUCAUUCACAUAGAUCAAAAUCUUUCGGUAUGGUUCACAAUAGUUAGUACAAGUCUGUAUAAGUUGAUGACAAAAAAAAAUAUAUAAAUCAUGGGUUAAUUAAAGCCACAAGAAUUCGUCUAAACACUGUGUCUUUUUUACUCCUUUAGGUCAAAUAUAAAGGAACCUUCAAUGUGGAAACGGUAAUAAUUUUUAAAGGUCUAAAGACUAGUCUAGAAGGUGGAAUAAAAAGAUAAAAACGUAUUUUAUCUAUUUAUUUAUACAAGAAGAGGAACAUGGUCAUCUUUUAUAUCAAUGGCCUUCGAGAAAAACACCAUAUAUUGCUCCCCCUUAGAGAGAGAGAGAGAGCGUGCUUCACAGCAACUAGAGAAAGGAUCCAAAGGGAUCGCAUUGAUCCAAAUUAAGCUGAAUUAUUCCCCAAUAGUUAUUCUUUUUCUCAAUCGAAAGAUGAAAAGAAGACUUGCUUCAUUUUCUGGAUCAUGCGAUCUCAUUGGAUUCAUUCUUUGGUAGCUUCCAUUUUGGUCAAAAGGUCUCUCUACCGGAGACUUCGCCGCCGGGAGAUUCUUCGGUGGGUCGAACCAGUCAUUUACGACAAGUGAUAAAACUUUGUUCAUAUACAAAUCACAACAGAUAACAUAAAAGAAGUAAUAAAGAAAAUACAUGAUUUGGACAAACGAUAGCGCUACUGUCAAGAGUAUUACAGACGAACAAAAGAGAUCUCCCAUGCCUGGAAGGUUAUAAUCUUCCAAACAAAAUCUAUUACACCAGAACAAAAUUCUCCUACCUAAUUAAAUAUCACUGUGACUGAUUUUCUCGCAUGUACAGAUGAUACGAAAAGAAAGAGGAACUUACCCUAUUGAAUCUGGUCCUAAAGGCGAGUCGAAACCGUAAUUGUUUGGUGACAAGGAAACACAUCGAUCAAUGAAUCUCCUCCUAUUGUCCGGCUGCAAACAGGAAACGAAAUGAGCAUUUUUUUUGGAGUAAAAACAACCCUUGUGUUUUGCUAUUAAAGUAAUAAUU